rnacentral:rRNA from 1 species
UAGGGAAUCUUCGGCAAUGGACGAAAGUCUGACCGAGCAACGCCGCGUGAGUGAAGAAGGUUUUCGGAUCGUAAAACUCUGUUGUUAGAGAAGAACAAGGACGUUAGUAACUGAACGUACCCUGACGGUAUCUAACCAGAAAGCCACGGCUAACUACGUGCCAGCAGCCGCGGUAAUACGUAGGUGGCAAGCGUUGUCCGGAUUUAUUGGGCGUAAAGCGAGCGCAGGCGGUUUCUUAAGUCUGAUGUGAAAGCCCCCGGCUCAACCGGGGAGGGUCAUUGGAAACUGGGAGACUUGAGGGCAGAAGAGGAGAGUGGAAUUCCAUGUGUAGCGGUGAAAUGCGUAGAUAUAUGGAGGAACACCAGUGGCGAAGGCGGCUCUCUGGACUGUAACUGACGCUGAGGCUCGAAAGCGUGGGGAGCAAACAGG